AUUGAACGCUGGCGGCAUGCCUUACACAUGCAAGUCGAACGGCAGCGGACCUUCGGGUGCCGGCGAGUGGCGAACGGGUGAGUAAAGUAUCGGAACGUACCUUUCAGUGGGGGAUAACGUAGCGAAAGUUACGCUAAUACCGCAUAUUCUGUGAGCAGGAAAGCAGGGGAUCGCAAGACCUUGCGCUGAUUGAGCGGCCGAUAUCAGAUUAGCUAGUUGGUGAGGUAAAGGCUCACCAAGGCGACGAUCUGUAGCGGGUCUGAGAGGAUGAUCCGCCACACUGGAACUGAGACACGGUCCAGACUCCUACGGGAGGCAGCAGUGGGGAAUUUUGGACAAUGGGGGCAACCCUGAUCCAGCCAUGCCGCGUGAGUGAAGAAGGCCUUCGGGUUGUAAAGCUCUUUCGGCCGGGAAGAAAUCGCGCAGGUUAAUACCCUGUGUGGAUGACGGUACCGGAAUAAGAAGCACCGGCUAACUACGUGCCAGCCGCCGCCGUAAAAC
rnacentral:rRNA from 1 species